AGACUGUGUGGUUCCUGUUGCGGCUCCAGACUUCCUUAGUUUGCCUGUGGAGAGGAAAGGAGAACCGAGAGACAGACAGGGCCGAGUGGUGGCGUCAGGAGCUGUAGCGCUCGCUGUGGCGUCCAGCGCAGCUGCACAUGAACUUGACCCAACACUAGAGUUGGACGAAUUUGGUGAUUUCGGCAAUCCUGAAGUGGAGGGGAGCGUCCUUUUAGACAGCCAGUACAACAUGGUGGAGUUUGCCAAGAAAUACUUCAGACAAUCUAACGGGAGCCAAAGUGAUUCAUUCAGAGACAAGUCUAAGAAAGGCAAAGGCAGAGACCCUGCGGAAAUGGUCAAAUUCAGCAAGACCCCUAUCCAGGAGUCCCUCAUCGAGUUCAAUGACCCCAAUAUGAACAGGGUCGCUUCUGAAAUCUUCCUGGGU
ensembl:lncRNA